rnacentral:rRNA from 1 species
AUACGUUGGUGACAAGCGUUAUCCGGAUUUACUGGGUGUAAAGGGCGUGUAGGCGGUUUAGCAAGUCAGAAGUGAAAUUCCCGGGCUUAACUUGGGCGCUGCUUCUGAAACUGCUUUACUUGAGUGCUGGAGAGGAUAGUGGAAUUUCUAGGGUAGCGGUAAAAUGCGCAGAUAUUAGGAGGAACACCGGUGGCGAAGGCGGCUAUCUGGACAGUAACUGACGCUGAGGCGCGAAAGCACGGGGAGCAAACAGGAUUAGAUACCCUGGUAGUCCGUGCCGUAAACGAUGAAUACUAGGUGUAGGGGGUAUCGACUCCCUCUGUGCCGCAGUUAACACAUUAAGUAUUCCACCUGGGGAGUACGGCCGCAAGGUUGAAACUCAAAUGAAUUGACGGGG